rnacentral:rRNA from 1 species
GACGAACGCUGGCGGCGUGCCUAAUACAUGCAAGUAGAACGCUGAAGAGAGGAGCUUGCUCUUCUUGGAUGAGUUGCGAACGGGUGAGUAACGCGUAGGUAACCUGCCUGGUAGCGGGGGAUAACUAUUGGAAACGAUAGCUAAUACCGCAUAAAAUUGAUUAUUGCAUGAUAAUUAAUUGAAAGAUGCAACUGCAUCACUACCAGAUGGACCUGCGUUGUAUUAGCUAGUUGGUGAGGUAACGGCUCACCAAGGCGACGAUACAUAGCCGACCUGAGAGGGUGAUCGGCCCCCCUGGGACUGAGACACGGCCCAGACUCCUACGGGAGGCAGCAGUAGGGAAUCUUCGGCAAUGGGGGGAACCCUGACCGAGCAACGCCGCGUGAGUGAAGAAGGGUUUCGGAUCGUAAAGCUCUGUUGUAAGAGAAGAACGGGUGUGAGAGUGGAAAGUUCACACUGUGACGGUAUCUUACCAGAAAGGGACGGCUAACUACGUG